rnacentral:piRNA from 1 species
UUCUGGAAUGUCCUUAGGCUAGGCCACUGG